AUGAAACAUGAUGUAUGUGGACCUGUUCUGCAAACACUGUAUGUGAUAACACAGAAAACAAAAGGCACAGAUAACUGGGAUCUGAAGUUUGUCAAGAAAUUGUGCAAAGCAGUUGCUCCUUUUGUAAAGGACCAUCACUCCUCAGACAUCAGAGUCUUCACAUAUGGUGUCAUUGCAAACUUACUUUCAGUUGAACAUGUGGGUGACAUCUUUACAUCAGUGGGGAUAACUGCAGUGCCUGAGGACAUACUGCUGUCUGCAGAAAUGAGCAACAAUGACAAGCUGAAAGAAGUUCUCAGAAGACUGAAAAAUCACUUCAGCAAACCAAAUGUGGAAUGUGAGGACUGUAUAGCCUCACCUGGGCCGAGGAAAAAGAAGAAGAAGAAAAAGAAGGAGAAGGAAAAAUCAAACAGGGAAGAAGACCCAAAUGACAAGUAUUUGAGUGAUGCAACUGAUCCAACAUCAGUUCCUGUUGUGGAGUCAACUUCAAAUGUUCAGCCACUCCACUCCAACACCACUGUGUCAUCAGAUACACACACAUGGCUACAAAUCAGCAAGAGGUGGAGAGAAAAAUUAGAGAAUCUGGUUAGCACUGAUAGAAGCAGAGUAACCAGAAUUGGGAGCAUGAUUUAUGUGAAAGAUGAAGAGUUCCGAAUAGCAGAGGGCAGUGAUGGUACUGAAGUCUUCUUGGGGCUGAGAGAUGAUGGCACUAAGGUUGCUAUUAAGAGAAUGAAAAAAAGCCACUAUAAAACGCUGAGGAAUGAAGAGGGAUUUUUACGACUUCCAGGACUUGAUCAUCAAUCUAUUGUACGAUACGUUGACUUUGCAGAGGAUGAGGACUUUGGAUAUCUUGGUCUUCAGCUUUGUGAAUACACCCUGGAAGAAUGCAUCAGAAACAAUGAUGGUGGUCUGCUGAAAGAGAAACUUGUCUAUCAGGUUCUGGAGAGUUUAAAAGUGCUUAAUUGUCAAAAUCCUCCAAUUCUCCAGCGUGAUCUCAAACCACAGAAUGUUUUGAUUGGUAAGGAAAGUUUAAAAUAUUAA
rnacentral:lncRNA from 1 species